rnacentral:rRNA from 1 species
GUCUGGGGCCAUGUCGCCCUGAACAAGCCCGAUCCCAUUUGAUCUCGGAAGCUAAGCAGGGUCGAGCCUGGUUAGUACUUGGAUGGGAGACCACCUAGGAAGACCAGGUGCAGUGGGCG